ACCAAUCGAACCGGACUGAAAGAAAAUAUGUGAAUCCACUCCGGUCGGGCAGGAUCCGACUGUACGAUGUUUGGUCCAAAAAAAAAAAAGAAGAAGAAGAAAAAUCCCCGAUUUUGACGGAUAAUUAAAAAACUAAUCGUAUCUCUCUCUCUCCUCGCUUUCUCUCUCCUUCUGGUUUCUCAACCCAAAAGAUCUGUCCCAUUUCCACCACUGUCUCCUUCUAGAUCGAAGCUCUGCAAACAAAGCCCUCAGUUAGUGGCAUAAUUUGUGGAAAAAUAUGGCUAUGGUUGAUGAACGUUUAUACCCGAUUGCGGUUUUAAUUGACGAGCUUAAGAAUGAAGACAUUCAGCUCCGGUUGAACUCAAUCCGGAGGCUUUCCACGAUUGCCCGUGCGCUGGGAGAAGAGAGGACCAGGAAGGAACUGAUUCCUUUCCUCAGUGAGAACAACGAUGAUGAUGAUGAAGUGCUUCUGGCAAUGGCGGAAGAGUUGGGGGUGUUCAUCCCCUAUGUAGGUGGUGUGGAGCAUGCCAACAUUCUGCUUCCGCCUUUGGAAACACUCUGCACUGUUGAGGAAACAUGUGUGAGGGAUAAGGCGGUGGAUUCGUUGUGUAAAAUUGGGGGGCAGAUGAGAGAAAAGGACUUGGUUGAAUACUUCAUUCCUUUGGUUAAGAGACUAGCUGCUGGCGAGUGGUUUACAGCCCGAGUUUCAUCCUGUGGUUUGUUUCAUAUUGCUUAUACUAGUGCACCAGAAACUUUAAAAACUGAACUACGAACGACAUACAGUCAACUGUGCCAAGAUGACAUGCCCAUGGUUAGGAGAUCUGCUGCAAGUAACCUGGGAAAAUUUGCUGGGGACUGUAGAAGCUGUGCACCUCAAGGCUGACAUAAUGUCUAUAUUUGAGGAUUUGACGCAGGAUGAUCAGGAUUCUGUUCGGUUAUUGGCCGUGGAGGGUUUUGCAGCUCUUGGGAAGUUGUUGGAGCCUCAAGAUUGUGUGGCCCAUAUUCUUCCUGUCAUUGUUAACUUUUCACAGGAUAAGUCUUGGCGUGAUACAUGGUUGCAAAUCAAUUAUAUGAGCUUUGUGAAGCUGUUGGUCCAGAAGCUACAAGGUCGGACCUGGUGCCUGCAUACGUUCGGCUUCUUCGGGAUAAUGAGGCUGAAGUACGAAUAGCUGCUGCAGGAAAAGUAACUAAGUUUUGCCGAAUUGUGAAUCCAGAACUUGCCAUUCAGCAGAUCCUUCCUUUCGUAAAGGAAUUGUCGACAGAUUCUUCCCAGCAUGUUCGUUCUGCAUUGGCUUCAGUAAUAAUGGGAAUGGCACAAGUUUUAGGAAAGGAUGCAACUAUAGAGCAGCUGCUGCCUAUUUUUCUUUCUCUUCUAAAAGACGAGUUUCCUGAUGUGCGAUUGAAUAUUAUUAGCAAGCUUGAUCAAGUCAACGAGGUAAUUGGGAUUGAUAUGCUGUCCCAGUCUUUGUUGCCGGCAAUUGUUGAACUUGCAGAGGAUAGACAUUGGAGGGUUCGGCUUGCGAUAAUAGAAUACAUUCCUUUAUUGGCAAGUCAGUUGGGUGUUGAGUUUUUUGAUGAUAAGCUUGGCUCUCUCUGCAUGCAGUGGUUAAAUGAUAAGGUUUACUCAAUACGUGAUGCAGCUGCUAAUAAUGUGAAGCGCCUUGCAGAAGAAUUCGGCCCCGAAUGGGCAAUGCAGCAUAUAGUUCCACAGGUUUUGGAAAUGAUAAGCAACCCCCACUAUUUGUAUCGGAUGACCAUUCUACAUGCCAUUUCCCUACUUGCCCCUGUUUUGGGAUCAGAACUCACUUGUUCCAGGCUUGUACCGGUGAUAGUCACUGCAUCAAAAGACAGGGUACCAAACAUCAAGUUCAAUGUGGCUAAGGUGUUGCAGUCGAUUAUUCCGAUAGUUGAUCAGUCGGUGGUGGAGAAAACUAUUUGUCCUUGUUUGCUUGAGCUUAGUGAGGAUCCCGACGUUGAUGUAAGGUCCUUUGCUAGCCAAGCCCUUCAGUCAAGCGAACAGGUCAUGAUGUCUCGCUAGCGAGGUAGUCCUUAGUUUCCGUCUUGUUUACUUUUCCUUUUUGUGAACCACGAAAUUCAGAUGUAUCUUUUCUUUACCCUCUUGAGACGCAGAGGUUAUUUUCGUACGCUCAACGAUUUGCCAUGAUUUUGAUUCUUUAUGGUACAUUUGUUCGAAUCAGUGUUAGUAAUGUUGUUGUAUCCAAAUGUGGCGUUGGAAUUUA